rnacentral:rRNA from 1 species
UACGAAGGGGAGCUAGCGUUGUCCGGAAUUAUUGGGCGUAAAGAGCUUGUAGGCGGUUUGUCGCGUCUGCUGUGAAAUUUCGGGGCUCAACCCCGAACUUGCAGUGGGUACGGGCAGACUAGAGUGUGGUAGGGGAGACUGGAAUUCCUGGUGUAGCGGUGAAAUGCGCAGGAUAUCAGGAGGAACACCGGUGGCGAAGGCGGGUCUCUGGGCCGAUACUGACGCUGAGGAGCGAAAGCGUGGGGAGCGAACAGG